CCUACGUGAGGCAGCAGUAGGGAAUGUUCCACAAUGGGCGAAAGCCUGAUGGAGCAACGCCGCGUGGGUGAAGAAGGUCUUCGGAUCGUAAAACCCUGUUGUUAGAGAAGAAAGUGCGUGAGAGUAACUGUUCACGUUUCGACGGUAUCUAACCAGAAAGCCACGGCUAACUACGUGCCAGCAGCCGCGGUAAUACGUAGGUGGCAAGCGUUAUCCGGAUUUAUUGGGCGUAAAGGGAACGCAGGCGGUCUUUUAAGUCUGAUGUGAAAGCCUUCGGCUUAACCGGAGUAGUGCAUUGGAAACUGGGAGACUUGAGUGCAGAAGAGGAGAGUGGAACUCCAUGGGUAGCGGUGAAAUGCGUAGAUAUAUGGAAGAACACCAGUGGCGAAAGCGGCUCUCUGGUCUGUAACUGACGCUGAGGUUCGAAAGCGUGGGUAGCAAACAGGAUUAGAUACCCUGGUAGUC
rnacentral:rRNA from 1 species